rnacentral:misc_RNA from 1 species
GUGAAUCAUCGAAUUUUUGAACGCAAAUUGCACUCUCCGGUUUUCCGUGAGAGUAUGCCUGUUUGACGUUCAGCCUAAACACAAUCUCCAUUGUUUCUUUUUUAUUGUGCCUUUCUUCCUAGCUUUGUUAUCUUUAAUCUCUGUUUCUGCGACUUCAAACUUUUUUUUACUCUUCUAUUAAUGUUUCUAACCUUUUUCUUGUACCUUUAAUGUAUCCACUGUCUUAUUAGACGUGCCCGUCAUAUCGGAUCGUGUCCAUAAUUUUUUUCGUUACCUU